rnacentral:rRNA from 1 species
GAUGAACGCUGGCGGCGUGCCUAAUACAUGCAAGUCGAGCGAACGGACGAUAAGCUUGUUUCUCUGAUGUUAGCGGCGGACGGGUGAGUAACACGUGGAUAACCUACUUAUAAUACUGGGAUAAUUUCGGAAAACCAGAUCUAAUACCAGAUGAUAUUUUGAACCGCAGGGUUCAAAAGUGAAUGACGGUUUUGCUGUCACUAAUAGAUGGUUCCGCGCUGCAUUAGCUAGUGGGUAAGGUACCGGCUCACCAAGGGGACGAUGCAUAGCGGAUCGGAGAGGGUGAUCGGCCACACUGGAACUGAGACACGGUCCAGACUCCUACGGGAGGCAGCAGUAGGGAAUCUUCCGCAAUGGGCGAAAGCCUGACGGAGCAACGCCGCGUGAGUGAUGAAGGUCUUCGGAUCGUAAAGCUCUGUUAUUGGGGAAGAACAUAUGUGGAAGUAAAUGUGGCCAUCUUGACGGUACCUAAUCAAAAAGCCCCGGCUAACUACGUG